AUUGAACGCUGGCGGCAUGCUUUACACAUGCAGGUCGAACGGUAACAGGGUGCUUGCACCGCUGACGAGUGGCGAACGGGUGAGUAAUGCGUCGGAACGUGCCGAGUAGUGGGGGAUAACGCAGCGAAAGUUGUGCUAAUACCGCAUACGUACUGAGGUAGAAAGUGGGGGACCUUCGGGCCUCACGCUAUUCGAGCGGCCGACGUCUGAUUAGCUAGUAGGUGAGGUAAAGGCUCACCUAGGCGACGGUCAGUAGCGGGUCUGAGAGGAUGAUCCGCCACACUGGGACUGAGACACGGCCCAGACUCCUACGGGAGGCAGCAGUGGGGAAUUUUGGACAAUGGGCGAAAGCCUGAUCCAGCCAUGCCGCGUGUCUGAAGAAGGCCUUCGGGUUGUAAAGGACUUUUGUCAGGGAAGAAAUCCCUAGUGCUAAUAACACUGGGGGAUGACAGUACCUGAAGAAUAAGCACCGGCUAACUACGUGCCAGCCGCCGCAGUAA
rnacentral:rRNA from 1 species